rnacentral:lncRNA from 10 species
AGUUUAUUAUCAUUAGUAUGGUUUCACUUUGGGGGAAAAAAACUCUUUUUCCUCAUAAGGCAUAUUGCAUAUUGAGAUGAUGAAGACCAAAGUCAAUGCUGUAGAGAGUUGUAGGGAUAUAACUGCUGCUAAAAUAAGCACUUGGUUUAGUAGACUAUUUCCCUUAGACGCUUGGAGCACAAUAAUUUUUUCCUGCUGGGAGACAAUGUAUAUCCUGAAUGGGGUAGGGCCUGAAAGACAGUGAAAUACAGCCGGAAAUACACCUGAUGGCAGAAUCCACCAGGAUCAGACAGCAUCAGGACAGCAUUAAACACAGUGUUUGAAGAUAGCAGAGGUAUGUGGACUCUCAAGGAACACUGAAAGAUUACAGAUUGUAGGUGAGCAUGGUUUUGAGAGUCUAUCUCUGCUAGCCACAAGAAAAUUAGCAGUCAACAUUUGCAAGGUCUGUUUAAUUAUGUCAGUGACCAGAGCUAGCCUCCCAGGUUAAGUGAGAACGAGAACUAACAAGCUGCCCCUAGCCUCCUUCAGGACUUAAAUGAUAAAGCCAUGGCAAUCACAGCAGCAGCAGCAGCAGCAAAAGCAGCAACAGCAGCAGCUGAAGCAGCAACAGCAGCAGCAAGAACAUGGUUUUGACCCGCAGUUCUUGCCCAUCAAAGAGCUGUGCCCUGUCUGCUCCCACUGACAGGCAGAUAAAUACAGAGAUCUGUUGGCAAGUACAUAUUUAUGUGUAUCUACAGUUCCCUCACACAGACUUACAGAGAAUGCAUAACAGCUUCUAGUGGUAUAACAAAUGCACCCACUAAUGGGGUGAGACCCAUUACUCACAAAUGGGUGAAAAGAAGCAUCAAUAUGCAGGUCUUAACCCCAGUUUGUGGGCAGAAACCUGUCAUUCCAUUGCAGGCCGAUAGGUCUCCUAUUCACACAGUCCUUGUUUAAUUUUCCAAACACCCUUUCUCUAAAUGGUGCUACUCUGAGCUGUGUAGUGCAGACAGACAGGUUUGACAAGCAGAGCUGUCAAUUUCACAUUUUUCAUCCCAACUGCAGGGCAAAAUUAGGCCUUGUACGUAACUGGGGUUGACUGGUUAGGAAGGCAGGAGAGGUUGGCAUUUAAGAGGUAUUUUCCACAUUAGAAACUCAGAACUCAAGAUAGAAAACUCAAAAAGGGUUGUCCCUAUUCAACAUCCAUGAAAUCAGGAGAGUCCAAAGAUGUGUACUGGUGGUCUACUGUGGGGCAUAUACAUUUUGCUGAAACGAGAAGAUGAAGGGAAAAGUAAAGCUUGGUCCUAUCUAGAAGGAGCUAUGGGUAAGUAAGUAGUGAAAGACACUCACUCAAAUACCAUAAUAUAAAAAUGGGGCACUUGCCGUAAGAGAGGAACAUAGCAACGUGUACACACAAUUCUUGGUUAACCAAGAAGUUGAAUAUAUAAGUAAUAUAUUAGUCAAAUUUUUAUCCUUCAAAAAAUUUUGGAAUUGUCCAAAGAAAGGCCAACAGGAUACAUGCUAGGCAAUGAUGGGUGGAUUAGGCAUACAACGAAAGCAAGUUAACCAGCGCUGUUUCUAACAACCAAGUCCCAGAAUAUCCUUGGGAUCUCUGGGACUAUCUCAAGCAUAUAACAUGAGUCUGGGAUGGUUUUGAAAUCUCUGCUAGCAUAUGCUCUGCCCUGAGGUUUCUUUUUGGUGCUGAUUUGGUUGAACUGAAGAAGGAAGGGAGAACACAUAGAAGAAGAGUUCUCUCUAUUUUCAGGCGGCAGUCCUAUCUAUACCGGUGGUACAGUUAAGAACCUAGAAUGAAUGCUCCUCCAGAAUCCCCUGUGCAGAUCGACACUCUAUGGUAUAUGAGAUCUCACAGAGUCUUGCAUAUCAGAAACUCACAAACGGGAACACAGAAGAGUCUGUGUGUCCCUGAGUUUAUGCUCAAGCUGUCAAACAUCAAGAGUAAUUUAUGUUGUUCAGGAACAUACUAUAACAAAGCUCUCACAGGUUGGAGGCUUCAGUGAGCCUGAGGGCUCACUUCCCAACCUGGACUUACCCCAUAAGGAGCAACGGACUUUGCUAACAUGAAAUCAAAAGGCAAAGGAAAUCAGGCAUUUAGGAGGUAUUUUACAGUUACAAUUACCCAAUCCUAGGUUGGACUAGGAUUGGGGUUGGUGGGGAAGGAGACAUGGAAAGUGCUGUUAAAUGUUGUUUGAAAUGUCCCUUUUUGAUCCCCACAGUCAUGAGUGUAUUUGAGUCUUGAUUGCUCUUUACUUAAAUUAUUGUCAUUGCCCCUCAGUUGGCAUCUCUGACUAAUCCCAACCCUCUCAAUCUACUCUGCACACUAUAGCCAGGUUAACUUCUAAAACAUGCCUUUCAUUAUUUUUGCUUGUCUCUGUAAGUGUUUCAGUUAUUCAGCAAAUCCUUAUUGCAUUCUAACUGUCUGAUAGCUAUUGUUCUCAUCACCCACAAAAAAUAAAUCUGGACUCUGCCUGCCUUUUGGAAUUCACAUCCUAGUCUUCAAUAACAUGGCUCUCAUUUCUAGUUUCACUACUUCCUGUAUACACCAACUUUAUUUCCAUUGGUUGAUAUUUUUCUUCAUCCUCCCUACUUCUCUGUUUUCCCAUAUUAAACCAUUGGCUACCAUCUUUGCUUCUUUCCAAAAGACCUUUUAUUCCAUUAUCUUUCAACGUCCAGCUUUUACAUCUACAGCUAAAGUUCUCCGUCUACUAUUAAUCAAGCCUUCUAUACUCCUUUCUAGGCCACCAUAAUGCAGAUUCUUGUAGUACUCACUACCUUUCGUUAUUGCUCAUGUUGGUGCAUAAUGGCAGAUUGGUAAUUUCCAGUUAGUUUUAGGAUCUAAUUACUAGUCUCUGCAAUAAGAGUAUAAAAACCAUAAGCUCUCUGUGAGCAGGUAUUGUGUUUCUGAUAGUAACAUUAUUAACUGUUGUGAUAACUGUGAAUUAAGUUUAGCAUCAUACUUAUUUCUAAAUUU